UCGGACGGUUGCUGAUGGGUUAUUAGCUAUUGUGGUCGGUUGCUGGUGAACAAACAGCUGACAUGCGCACCACUACAAAGACCUGUGUCUAUACAGCCUCUCCCCAUCAGGACUGAACUGAACUGAACUGAAUCCGUUCAUCUCCACUCGACACUCGCAGCGCGACAAAACAUCUUCAAUUAGGACACCAGGCGUGUCCGUAUAGCCCCUCUUUCGGGGAGAGCUUCUUCCGUAUAGCCCCUCUUCCGGGGACAUCCUCUUCCGGUAAGAGCCUCCUCUUCCUAAUGACGUCGCGUAGCUACCGUUUUGGUAGUCGAGGAUUCGUUGAAGAAAAGCGAAGAGAUUGUUGUCAACAACACGGGUUUUUAACACUGCCCUAGUUAAUUUACAGAGAACAAGAUGUCAGAUACAGACACGAAACCUUCAGGUCCAGAUGGAGGAGACCAAAAGGAUGGAGAGUACAUCAAACUGAAAGUGAUCGGUCAGGACAACAGUGAAAUUCACUUCAAAGUGAAAAUGACCACCCAUCUGAAGAAGCUGAAGGAGUCUUACAGCCAGAGACAGGGUGUUCAUAUGAGUACCUUACGGUUUCUAUUUGAGGGACAACGAAUCUCAGACAACCACACUCCAAAAGAGCUGGGGAUGGAAGACGAGGACGUCAUCGAGGUGUAUCAGGAACAGACUGGAGGACUUCGGAAUAAUUAGUCUACCUGGAUUUAACUUUUGUUGUUGUUGAUGAUGAUAAUAUUGUAUUUUAUAUUUGUACAAUUAAUUUACUGAGUGAAUUUUGUUUUGGCUUUGUGUUCCUCUCAGUGGUAGAGAGGAGAGAAUAACUGUUAUCGUUCUGUUUGUGCUGUUUUGCCAACUUGCGUGGCAAAAAGUUGUCACAAACAGACUGGCACUCGGGCUCUAUCUGUUUGUGCUGGCGUGACAAUGACUGUAGGAGUUGGCAAGACGGCACAGAAUGCAUUACAGAGUAGAAGUGCUGAUCGGGGAUCAGUUUUGCCUUUAAGAAUCAUAGGGGAUUUAAAAAAAAAAUUUACCAGGCAAGUCGGUUAAGAACAAAUUGUUAUUUACAACGACGGCCUACCGAGGAACAGUGGGUUAACUGCCUUGUUCAGGGGGCAGAACCACAGAUUUUUAUUUUCUUUUUUACCUCGUCAGCUCGGGGAUUCGAUCCAGAAACCUUUCGGUUACUGGCCCAACGCUCUAACCACUAGGCUACCUGCCACCCCAUUGACUACAUGGACAAGAGGGACCCUGAUUCCUAGAUCAGCACUCCUACUGUUUUAUGAUUACGGCCACCGGAACAAGGCUACUAUGAUUCCCCCCCCCCCCCCAUGUGGUCCAUCAGAAGACUCAUUAGGUUGGAUAAAUGUUUUCUUCAGACCCCUCCCCCCCCGUAGCUUCAGUUUGGUUGAUUGUCAUCCGUCCCCCAUAUAUAUAGCGUUCGACAGUAUAUAUUUUACUAGCUGAAGAUCCAGGUAACUGCCAAAGUAAAAGGAAACACUAACAUUGGGUGUUAAUAGGGUCACCACGACCCAGAACAGCUUCAAUGCACCUCGAGGGUAGAUUCUACAAGUGUCUUGAACUCUAUUGGAGGGAUGAGACACCAUUCUUCUUCCACGAGAAAUUCCAUUAUUUUGGUGUUUUGAUGAUGAUGAUGAUGAUGAUGAUGAUGGUGGCGGCGGGAAAAACGUUUUCUCAGGCACCGCUCCAGACUCUCCCGUAAGUGUUCAAUUUGGGUUGAGAUCUGGUGACCUGAGAUGGUCGUGGUCUUUGGGUUUUAUCGUUUUUUUUGUAAAAUGCUCACUAAACCAUUCGGUGACCUCUCAAGCCCUGUGGAUGGGGAUGGGGAUGGGGGGGGGGGGGUUGUCGUGGUAACCAAAAUAAUGUCCUGCUCAGCAUUAUUUUUUUUUUUUUGCUUGACCCUAAGCAUGAUGGGAUGUUAAUUGCUUAAUUAAUUUUGGGUUACAACACCUGUGUUGAAGCAUCUGCUUUCAAUAUAUUUUUGUAUCCCUCAUUUCCUCAUGUGUUUUUCCUUUGUUUUGGCAGUUACCUGUAGCUAGCGUGCCACUGUUAUUUCCUGACUUUUAUGUCAAGGUGUUAUACGACUUCAAUAACGUCUCAUCCUCGGGUUCAUUCAAAACGCUUGUCCACAGUCUUAAGUAUUUUAAUAACCAUCAUGUUCCCAUUCACUGCCUGUCUCUUUCUGUUAGAGAACUGGUCAAAUACCUUCUUAUUAAAGGCUCUAUUCAAUCAGCAUCGUCGAAGUCCAGCUUUGCAGCGGGAUUGAAAUAUAAACACAACGAUCCCGCUUUACCGGAAGACUUCACUCCCGGUAAACGCUGCACAUGUAGUAGGCUGAAACCGGGAGACUUCACUGCUGUUAAACGCUGCACAUGUAGUAGGCUGAAACCGGGAGACUUCACUCCCGGUAAACGCUGCACAUGUAGUAGGCUGAAACCGGGAGACUUCACUGCUGUUAAACGCUGCAGAUGUAGUAGGCUGAAACCGGAAGACUUCACUCCCGGUAAACGCUGCACAUGUAGUAGGCUGAAACCGGGAGACUUCACUCCCGGUAAACGCUGCAGAUGUCGUAGGCUGAAACCGGGAGACUUCACUCCCGGUAAACGCUGCAGAUGUCGUAGGCUGAAACCGGGAGACUUCACUCCCGGUAAACGCUGCAGAUGUCGUAGACUCAACCGGGAGACUACCGCGGAAUCUCUUCAGCUUUCCAGAUUGAAGAGGGCUCUUAAUCCGUAGUACAUAAUUUGUACUCUCAACUGUAUAGUACUCUGUAGUACUGAUCUGUAUAGUACUCUGUAGCUCUGAACUAUAUAGUACUCUGUAGUACUGAUCUGAACUGUAUAGUACUCUGUAGUACUGAACUGUAUAGUACUCUGUAGUACUGAACUGUAUAGUACUCUGUAGCUCUGAACUGUAUAGUACUCUGUAGCUCUGAACUGUAUAUGAAUUACUUUUUAAAGGCCCAGUGCAGUCAAAAACUAGAUUUUCCUUUGUUUUGUAUAUAUUUCCACACUGAGGUUUGAUUAAUAUUGUGACAAUACUGAUAAUGCCCUUUUAGUGUAAGAGCUGAUUGAAAAGAACACCUGAAAUAUCAGCCUGUUUUUGUUUUGAUGGAGGUUUAGCCUUGUAAUUUAGUUAAUAGACCGAAAUGGGAGUUCCAAACCUCUCUGCCAAUAGUUUUCAAUGUUCCCCUCCCCACUCAGACCCUCUCUACCAAUAACAGCUAGGUUCCCUCCCCCACUCAGACCCUCUCUACCAAUAACAGCUAGGUUCCCUCCCCCACUCAGACCCUCUCUACCAAUAACAGCUAGGUUCCCUCCCCCACUGACCCUCUCUACCAAUAACAGCUAGGUUCCCUCCCCCACAGAACCUCUCUACCAAUAACAGCUAGGUUCCCUCCCCCACUCAGAACCUCUCUACCAAUAACAGCUAGUUUCCCUCCCCCACUCAGACCCUCUCUACCAAUAACAGCUAGGUUCCCUCCCCCACUCAGACCCUCUCUACCAAUAACAGCUAGGUUCCCUCCCCCACUCAGAACCUCUCUACCAAUAACAGCUAGGUUCCCUCCCCCACUCAGACCCUCUCUACCAAUAACAGCUAGGUUCCCUCCCCCACUCAGACCCUCUCUACCAAUAACAGCUAGGUUCCCUCCCCCACUCAGAACCUCUCUACCAAUAACAGCUAGGUUCCCUCCCCACUCAGACCCUCUCUACCAAUAACAGCUAGGUUCCCUCCCCCACUCAGACCCUCUCUACCAAUAACAGCUAGGUUCCCUCCCCCACUCAGACCCUCUCUACCAAUAACAGCUAGGUUCCCUCCCCCACUCAGACCCUCUCUACCAAUAACAGCAAGGUUCCCUCCCCCACUCAGACCCCCUCUACCAAUAACAGCUAGGUUCCCUCCCCCACUCAGAACCUCUCUACCAAUAACAGCUAGGUUCCCUCCCCCACUCAGACCCUCUCUACCAAUAACAGCUAGGUUCCCUCCCCCACUCAGAACCUCUCUACCAAUAACAGCUAGGUUCCCUCCCCCACUCAGACCCUCUCUACCAAUAACAGCUAGGUUCCCUCCCCCACUCAGACCCUCUCUACCAAUAACAGCUAGGUUCCCUCCCCCACUCAGACCCUCUCUACCAAUAACAGCUAGGUUCCCUCCCCCACUCAGAACCUCUCUACCAAUAACAGCUAGGUUCCCUCCCCCACUCAGACCCUCUCUACCAAUAACAGCUAGGUUCCCUCCCCCACUCAGAACCUCUCUACCAAUAACAGCUAGGUUCCCUCCCCCACUCAGAACCUCUCUACCAAUAACAGCUAGGUUCCCUCCCCCACUCAGAACCUCUCUACCAAUAACAGCUAGGUUCCCUCCCCCACUCAGAACCUCUCUACCAAUAACAGCUAGGUUCCCUCCCCCACUCAGACCCUCUCUACCAAUAACAGCUAGGUUCCCUCCCCCACUCAGACCCUCUCUACCAAUAACAGCUAGGUUCCCUCCCCCACUCAGACCCUCUCUACCAAUAACAGCUAGGUUCCCUCCCCCACUCAGACCCUCUCUACCAAUAACAGCUAGGUUCCCUCCCCCAUUCAGAACCUCUCUACCAAUAACAGCUAGGUUCCCUCCCCCACUCAGACCCUCUCUACCAAUAACAGCUAGGUUCCCUCCCCCACUCAGACCCUCUCUACCAAUAACAACUAGGUUCCCUCCCCCACUCAGACCCUCUCUACCAAUAACAGCUGGGUUCCCUCCCCACUAAAUGUAACACGUUUGGUAAACAAUAUUGUUUAUAUUAUUACCGACAGGAUAAAGGCUGUGAGUUCCCAGCCAAAAUACUGAGCACUUUCUUAAUUCUGACUAACCUUGCAUUGUACACACUUCAUAUUUUCUAAAAAGAAAAUCAUGCAUUCAAAUGUUACCCCCUCUUGUAUAUUUUGUAUACGCCUUUUUAUAUAUAUAUAUAUAUAUUUUAUGUGAGUAAGACUUUUUUUUCAUCUCAUGUUAUUAGUUGUCUCAUUUCAGGAGGGGAGACCAUCAUAUGCAGUUUGGGUAUGCUGUACGCGGGGUGAUCAGUUUGGGUAUGCUGUACGCGGGGUGAUCAGUUUGGGUAUGCUGUACGCGGGGUGAUCCGUUUGGGUAUGCUGUACGUGGGGUGAUCAGUUUGGGUAUGCUGUACGCGGGGUGAUCAGUUUGGGUAUGCUGUACGCGGGGUGAUCAGUUUGGGUAUGCUGUACGCGGGGUGAUCAGUUUGGGUAUGCUGUACGCGGGGUGAUCAGUUUGGGUAUGCUGUACGUGGGGUGAUCAGUUUGGGUAUGCUGUACGCGGGGUGAUCAGUUUGGGUAUGCUGUACGCGGGGUGAUCAGUUUGGGUAUGCUGUACGCGGGGUGAUCAGUUUGGGUAUGCUGUACGUGGGGUGAUCAGUUUGGGUAUGCUGUACGUGGGGUGAUCAGUUUGGGUAUGCUGUACGUGGGGUGAUCAGUUUGGGUAUGCUGUACGCGGGGUGAUCAGUUUGGGUAUGCUGUACGCGGGGUGAUCAGUUUGGGUAUACUGGACGCGGGUGAUCAGUUUGGGUAUGCUGUACGCGGGUGAUCCGUUUGGGUAUACUGGACGCGGGUGAUCAGUUUGGCUAUGCUGAACGCGGGGUGAUCAGUUUGGGUAUGCUGUAUGUGGGGUGAUCAGAUUGGGUAUGCUGUACGUGGGGUGAUCAGUUUGGGUAUGCUGUACGCGGGGUGAUCCGUUUGGGUAUGCUGUACGCGGGGUGAUCAGUUUGGGUAUGCUGUACGCGGGGUGAUCAGUUUGGGUAUGCUGUACGCGGGGUGAUCAGUUUGGGUAUGCUGUACGCGGGGUGAUCAGUUUGGGUAUGCUGUACGCGGGGUGAUCCGUUUGGGUAUGCCGUGCGCGGGGUGAUCAGUUUGGGUAUGCUGUACGUGGGUGAUCAGUUUGGGUAUACUGUACGUGGGUGAUCCGUUUGGGUAUGCUGUACGCGGGUGAUCCGUUUGGGUAUGCUGUACGCGGGUGAUCCGUUUGGGUAUGCCGUGCGCGGGUUUUCAGUUUGGGUAUACUGUACGCGGGUGAUCAGUUUGGGUAUGCCGUACGCGGGUGAUCAGUUUGGGUAUGCUGUACGCGGGUGAUCAGUUUGGGUAUGCUGUACGCGGGUGAUCAGUUUGGGUACGCGGGUGAUCAGUUUGGGUAUACUGUACGUGGGUGAUCAGUUUGGGUAUACUGUACGCGGGUUUUCAGUUUGGGUAUACUGUACGCGGGUGAUCAGUUUGGGUAUGCUGUACGCGGGUGAUCCGUUUGGGUACGCCGUACGCGGGUGAUCGUACCUAAAGCUACUCAGGUAUCUACUCUCCUCCUCUGCUGAAGCAAAGCAGGAGGUCUAGCUGUAAAGGAUUGUACAUCCCCUCAAAUGGCACCCUAUUCUCUUUAUGUAGGGCACUAUUUUUGACCCGGACCCUAUUACGUGUACACAGUGUCUCACUGCGUCGAGCCAUAGAAUCACUUUGAUUUAAGUCACUCUUUAGAGAUGUAUAUAAUAGUUUUUUUACUUUUUUUUUUACUUUAGUUGCCAUGGAAGUGAAUGCAAUGCAUACAGUGUGUGUAUUCCGGAAUAGCACCUUAUUCCUUUUAUAGUGUGUUACUUUUGACCAGAGUCCUUGUUAAUAGGGUUCCAUUUUGGGUUCCAUUUUGGGUGUGAAGACACUGGAAAGGUUUGAGGUUGUAAGAUUUUUUUUCCUUUUUAAAUAAAACAUCUUAACAGUUUCUCUCUCUCUGACUUGUGAUAAUAUAUCAUUGUAGUGGCUAAAAACGUCCAAUUUUAUAAUUGUCUCAAUACAAUUUCCAUCCAGAUCCUUUAGCCACAAUGGACAGUAGCGA
rnacentral:lncRNA from 1 species